rnacentral:rRNA from 1 species
AUUGAACGCUGGCGGCAGGCCUAACACAUGCAAGUCGAGCGGAUGAAGGGAGCUUGCUCCUGGAUUCAGCGGCGGACGGGUGAGUAAUGCCUAGGAAUCUGCCUGGUAGUGGGGGAUAACGUCCGGAAACGGGCGCUAAUACCGCAUACGGCCUGAGGGAGAAAGUGGGGGAUCUUCGGACCUCACGCUAUCAGAUGAGCCUAGGUCGGAUUAGCUAGUUGGUGGGGUAAAGGCCUACCAAGGCGACGAUCCGUAACUGGUCUGAGAGGAUGAUCAGUCACACUGGAACUGAGACACGGUCCAGACUCCUACGGGAGGCAGCGGUGGGGAAUAUUGGACAAUGGGCGAAAGCCUGAUCCAGCCAUGCCGCGUGUGUGAAGAAGGUCUUCGGAUUGUAAAGCACUUUAAGUUGGGAGGAAGGGCAGUAAGUUAAUACCUUGCUGUUUUGACGUUACCAACAGAAUAAGCACCGGCUAACUUCGUG